AAUGCACAGAGCUGGAAAGGGCCCAAGACCACCGAUUCAUUCUGUGAAGACCAGCGGGCUGCCAGCAGCCUUAAACAACUGUUGAUCACCAACACCAACAAAUUCCAAACAGAUUACCAAAAAAGGACAAGGCCAAAACCCAUUUCUGGGCUAUAAAAACAGAUUCCUCCAACGGCUGUUACGUGCUUUUUCCCAAAUCCCUUCUACAAAGAGGCCUGCACUCAGACACCCUGAUACAAAGGUGAGGAGCUCCCCUUGCCAUGCUAACAACUAUCUGGAGCACAGAGGCGGGUUUGUCUCACUUCAGCUGGUUGCACACACACAAGGUCUGAAGUACUGCAGAAGGAAUCUUGUGUGAUUUUUCAGGGAUUAAGAGACAAUGCAGAAAACAGCACAUCAAGAUCCUUCCAUGACCCAGGUUUUCCUCUCCCACAUCCCACGCAACAAAUGCUCCAAUGCCCUCAAUUUGGUGUCUGUGUCACCAGAGGGCUCCCAUCCUGGUAUCAAAGUGGGUCUGUGU
rnacentral:lncRNA from 1 species